rnacentral:rRNA from 1 species
UACAGAGGUGCCAAGCGUUAGGCGGAAUCACUGGGCUUAAAGCGUGUGUAGGCGGACUUGUAAGUACCUUGUGAAAUCCCACGGCUCAACCGUGGAACUGCUUGGUAUACUGCUUGUCUUGAGCCACUUAGGGGCUACCGGAACAAAUGGUGGAGCGGUGAAAUGCGUAGAUAUCAUUCGGAACGCCAAUGGUGAAAACAGGUAGCUGGGAGUGUGCUGACGCUGAGACACGAAAGCCAGGGGAGCGAACGGG